rnacentral:rRNA from 1 species
GGGGGCCCGCACAAGCGGCGGAGCAUGCGGAUUAAUUCGAUGCAACGCGAAGAACCUUACCAAGGCUUGACAUGAACCGGAAACACCUGGAAACAGGUGCCCCGCUUGCGGUCGGUUUACAGGUGGUGCAUGGUUGUCGUCAGCUCGUGUCGUGAGAUGUUGGGUUAAGUCCCGCAACGAGCGCAACCCUCGUUCUAUGUUGCCAGCGCGUUAUGGCGGGGACUCAUAGGAGACUGCCGGGGUCAACUCGGAGGAAGGUGGGGACGACGUCAAAUCAUCAUGCCCCUUAUGUCUUGGGCUUCACGCAUGCUACAAUGGCCGGUACAAAGGGUUGCGAUACUGUGAGGUGGAGCUAAUCCCAAAAAGCCGGUCUCAGUUCGGAUUGGGGUCUGCAACUCGACCCCAUGAAGUCGGAGUCGCUAGUAAUCGCAGAUCAGCAACGCUGCGGUGAAUACGUUCCCGGGCCUUGUACACACCGCCCGUCAAGUCACGAAGGUUGGUAACACCCGAAGCCGGUGGCCUAACCCCUUGUGGGAGGGAGCUGUCGAAGGUGGGACUGGCGAUUGGGACUAAGUCGUAACAAGGUAACCGUAGC